UUACCUUGAAAUUUAUCCAACAACCGUGGGAACAUAAACAAUGGCUUCCCUCACGUUUUCGCGAAGCGAAACCCAACCGCAAACAGUGCCUUUUCCAGCGACAUUCAACAGUACAGACAAGUGCAACGCGAUACUCAUAGCUUUGAAGUCAUCAAUCAUUUGUAAAACACUUAAAGCGCUGAACAGAUUGAUAUGGGAUUGAGUAGGAUUGUAAAGGAUAGUCCCGGUUUUCCAGGGACUGGCUGAAUCCUGUCCCUAUCAUUGAAAACUUAGAUUUGAUCUAAGAUUUGAGGGAUACACACUAACUCUCAUAUAGCCCUACGGCAGUAGUUACCCAUAGGUUAUCCAAAAAGCGCCUGGCUUUGCUGGUGGAGAACCAAUGCAGCAUUCCACAAAUACAACAAGGGAAGAUGAUCUAUCUGUGGAUUCUGCUCUCGAGCGCGCUCUCUCGCACAGGUCUUACCGGGGAA
rnacentral:misc_RNA from 1 species